rnacentral:rRNA from 1 species
AUCAUGGCUCAGAACGAACGCUGGCGGGCAGGGCUUAACACAUGCAAGUCGAGCGCCCCGCAAGGGGAGCGGCAGACGGGUGAGUAACGCGUGGGAAUCUACCCAUCUCUACGGAACAACUCCGGGAAACUGGAGCUAAUACCGUAUACGUCCUAAGGGAGAAAGAUUUAUCGGAGAUGGAUGAGCCCGCGUUGGAUUAGCUAGUUGGUGGGGUAAUGGCCUACCAAGGCGACGAUCCAUAGCUGGUCUGAGAGGAUGAUCAGCCACACUGGGACUGAGACACGGCCCAGACUCCUACGGGAGGCAGCAGUGGGGAAUAUUGGACAAUGGGCGCAAGCCUGAUCCAGCCAUGCCGCGUGAGUGAUGAAGGCCCUAGGGUUGUAAAGCUCUUUCAACGGUGAAGAUAAUGACGGUAACCGUAGAAGAAGCCCCGGCUAACUUCGUG